rnacentral:rRNA from 1 species
GAUGAACGCUGGCGGCGUGCCUAAUACAUGCAUGUCGAGCGAACGGACGAGAAGCUUGCUUCUCUGAUGUUAGCGGCGGACGGGUGAGUAACACGUGGAUAACCUACCUAUAAGACUGGGAUAACUUCGGGAAACCGGAGCUAAUACCGGAUAAUAUUUUGAACCGCAUGGUUCAAAAGUGAAAGACGGUCUUGCUGUCACUUAUAGAUGGAUCCGCGCUGCAUUAGCUAGUUGGUAAGGUAACGGCUUACCAAGGCAACGAUGCAUAGCCGACCUGAGAGGGGGAUCGGCCACACUGGAACUGAGACACGGUCCAGACUCCUACGGGAGGCAGCAGUAGGGAAUCUUCCGCAAUGGGCGAAAGCCUGACGGAGCAACGCCGCGUGAGUGAUGAAGGUCUUCGGAUCGUAAAACUCUGUUAUUAGGGAAGAACAUAUGUGUAAGUAACUGUGCACAUCUUGACGGUACCUAAUCAGAAAGCCACGGCUAACUACGU